rnacentral:ncRNA from 1 species
CAACUUUUAUUUGGCUUACUCCCCCGUUACACAUGAUACUAAUUGGAGGUGGGGUGUGUGGUGCACUAAGUCUCCCGCGUUUAAUACUUCGGGGCAGGCUUUGGUGCAAGAGUUUUUGCGUUAAUGCGCGUCGAAAUUAAUCAUCCACUCAGUGAUUAGAUUUAAACAAUUAUGGAGACAUAGAUUUAGGGGAGGAGAGAAUAAGGUGGGCAAUAAAGUGCCAGCACCCGCGGUCACACUUUAGCCUUAAGUCAAAUUUUUCGUGUGAACAGAAAAAAUUAAUUUGCGAGCAAUAUUUCUUUUUUUUUCGGUGAAAUGGUUUAAAUGGAAAAUUUUAGGAGCUCAAACAUUUGGAUCUGAAAAGGCUGUAUAAGGGACGGGGAUUAGGUACCCCCUUACUUAGGUUGGUUAGUACAUGCGAUUAUUACGAACAAAAAUGUUUAAAAUUUAAGGGGGUUGGCGGUGCUUUAUAUCCGUUAAGGGGAACUUGGCGGUUAAUACGAUGAUCCUCGAAUACCUUACCCUUUAUUUACUUUUCAUACCGCCGUUGUCAAUUCCCUUAGAAAUAAUAAAUUUUGGGGGUGUCAGAAUACUGAGAGAGUAAUGUGAAUUCAGGUUACGUGGAGGUUAUUAAGGGGGCUUAGCUGAGUUACAUUUCUACAUUGGUUGAUUGGAAGUGAAAGAUUCCAGGAUAGUGUACUUAUUAGUAAUUUGGAGAAAAACCGAGUGAAUCGAGUGUUAGUGCGUACAAAUCGCCCGGUGCCCCUGAAUCAAAAUCUGGGUAAGCCGUAACAUAGUAAUUCUACCAGAAGGUGGUGUUAGAUUUUU